rnacentral:misc_RNA from 1 species
CUGGAGUCGUUUUCGGCUUUCGGUUGUUUKCUUGGCCUUCGAGCCAUGUAGGCGGCUGAUUGCUGUGGCGGUUUCGGGGAUGUUUAUCGUAAAGGUGCAUGAGUGGUGUUUGGAUUGAUACGGGUGGUCGGCUCCCUGCUUGAGCAGGCACGGCCAUGCGUACAUUCCUCUUCAGUUAUUCGGCAGGGCUUGUAUUGCCUUGACCAUAUAUGUGGGUUUCUUGUGUUGCAUACCUGAUCAAUGGCAUCGUCUUGAUCAAAAUAGUCCCUUUUUUGUCAAGCGCCGCUCUUGUGACGUCGGACGAACUAAGUAGCACCCUUUUUGAUCCAUCUCGUUGAUGAGCAUUUGUUGAUGGUUUGGCCCAUUGAGGGAUGCUUGGUCUCUUGGAUAUGGAAGCCAAAGYGGCAUGGGUUCGUAUGAUCCUUUUACUGCCCUCGUUGAGCKUUCUUGCUUCUUUAAAACGACUGUCUCUCACGUAUGGCAUGUCCCAGCGUGUUUGGCUAUGUCGAAGAGGAAUGCUACC